rnacentral:rRNA from 1 species
CGUCUAGUGGAUGGCUCGGCUUGGGCGCCGAAGAAGGGCGUGGCAAGCUGCGAUAAGCCCCGGGGAGGCGCAUGCAGCCUUAGAUCCGGGGAUUCCCGAAUAGGACCUCCAGCCAUGAACUAACAGUUCAUGGCGCUCCCACCUCAUUAGAGGGGGAGUGGGAACCCCCCGAACGGAAACAUCCAAGUAGGGGGAGGAAGAGAAACCAUCAUGGGAUUCCCUGAGUACCGGCGAGGGAAAGGGGAGAAGCUCAAACCGAACCCAUAGGGCUGACAAACCCUACGGGGAUGUGGAGUAGAGGUUCAGCCGAAUACACCCACCGUCUGGAGAAGUCGAAGUGGCCUGGAACGGCCCACCAUAGAGGGUGAUAGUCCCGUAGAUGUAAUCCAGACUAGUGGGUUGGCUGAACCGGAGUACCACACCUUGAUAUUGGUGUGGGAAUCUGGGUGGAAUCAGCAUCCAAAGCUAAAUACGUCCCAAGACCGAUAGCGUACUAGUACGGUGACGGAAAGCUGAAAAGCACCCCGGGAGGGGGGUGAAAAGAGCCUGAAACUAGACGGCGAUAUCCGUGCGGGGCCUGAAAGGGUGGAUCCAUCUCGAAGGAAGCCGCGGUGACGCGGUUGUACGAGAGGUGGGGACCAGGGUCCCGCGUUCCGUUUCGAACCACGGGCCGGGGAGUUCACCUCCACGGCGAGCUUAAGAGCUUCAUAAGCUCGUAGGCGUAGGGAAACCGACUCAUCCGCAGUCGAGUUCUCCACUCGACGAGGGAUGGGGGUCUGAAAGGGCCUUUAGUCGUGGGGGUGAUAACCAGAAACCGGGCGAUCUAGCCCUGGGCAGGACGAAGCCAGGCGAAAGCCUGGUGGAGGUCCGAAGGGGUGUUGACGUGCAAUUCACUCCUCUGACCUGGGGCUAGGGGCCAAAAGCCAAUCUAGCCCGGUGAUAGCUGGUUCCUCCCGAAAUGGGUCGCAGCCCAUCCUCAGGCGAGGUUGCCCAGGGGGUAGAGCACCGAUAGAAUGGCAAGGGUCCGAAAGGGCCCACCAUUCUUUCGAACUCCGAAUCCCUGGGCUCCGAAGACCCUGGGAGGCGGGUCUCAGGGGGUAAGCCCCUGAACCAAGAGGGGAACAACCCGGACGAGGGUUAAGGCCCCUAAAUGCUGGCUAAGUGUUAACGCGAAUGGAGUCCUUAGCCUGAGACAGCUGGGAGGUAGGCUUAGAAGCAGCCAUCCUCUAAGCAACGCGUAACAGCGGACCAGCCGAGGCUAAGGGCCCAGAAAAUGGACGGGGCUAAGCCAGCUGCCGAUACCCUCGGGGCCAGUGUACACGCACUGGCUUGGUAGGGAGGCGUCGCAAUCGGGUAGAAGCCGAGCCGUGAGGUUCGGUGGACCGAUUGCGAGUGCAGAUCCCGGUGGUAGUAGCAGCAAAGAGGGGUGAGAAUCCCCUCCGCCGCAGGGGCCAGGGUUCUCCGGCAAUGUUCGUCAGCCGGAGGUUAGUCGGUCCUAAGGCAGCCCUUAACCGGUCGCUGCCGAAAGGGAAACCGGUUUACAUUCCGGUACCGCAGAGGUACGUGCGGUGACGCAAGCCUCCAAUCCGACACCUCCGGGUAGGCUGAGUAGAGUUGCCGCUCUACUUAACUGUCGAAGCCUGGGGAGUGCCGUAAAGGCGAGAACCAGGUGAAGACAGGAAUAGCCUCUCGAAAGAGGGGUUCAGCUGAUCCCGGGGGGCAAGGAAAAGGGUUGGAGGAAGGAUCCUCUGCGACCGUACCUAGAACCGACACAGGUGCCCCUGGGUGAGAAGCCUAAGGCGUGUCGGGUCAACGCGGGUGAGGGAAUUCGGCAAAUUAGCCCCGUAACUUCGGGAUAAGGGGUGCCUACGGUUUUAGCCUCAAGGCUGGAACCGUAGGUCGCAGUGACAAGGAGGCCCCGACUGUUUAAUAAAAACAUAGGUAGCCGCAAGCCCGAAAGGGUGUGUACGGCUGCUGAAUCCUGGCCAGUGGCGGUACCUAAAACCCAGGUUCAACUGGGCUAAGGGCCGCUAAACGCCGGGAGUAACUCUGACUCUCUCAAGGUAGCCAAAUGCCUUGUCGGAUGAUAUCCGACGUGCAUGAAUGGAUCAACGAGGGCCUCGCUGUCCCCACCCGGGACCCGGCGAACCUACCUGGUGGUGAAAAGUCCACCAUCCCCCAGCGGGGCGAGAAGUCCCUGUGGAGCUUUACUGCAGCCUGUUGUUGGGAUAUGGUUGUGGAUGCGUAGGGUAGGUGGGAGCCGUUGAAUCGGCUCUUCCGGGAGCUGAGGAGGCGCCGAUGAAACACCACUCUUCCGCGACCGUAUCCCUAACCUAGGUGCCAAACCUGGGGACAGCAGCAGGUGGGCAGUUCGCCUGGGAUGGCGCCCCCUUGAAAAGAUAUCGAGGGGGCCCUAAGGCCAGCUCAGGUAGGUCAGAAACCUACCGUAGAGGGCAAGGCCAAAAGCUGGCCUGACUGGAUCCUUCAAAGCAAGGGAUCCAGGGGUGAAAGCCGGGCCUAGCGAUCCUCCAUGUCCCUACUGGUGGGGGCUGGAGGUGACAGAAAAGUUACCCCAGGAAUAAUUGGCUUGUCGCGGGCGAGAGUUCACAUCGACCUCGCGGCUUGGUACGCCGUCGUCGUCCCUUCCCAUCCUGGCGGUGCAUAAGCCGCCAAGGGUGAGUCUGCUCGCCUAUUAAAGGGGAAUGCGAGAUGGGUUUAGACCGUCGUGAGACAGGUCGGACUCUACCUGCUGGGGGUGCUGGCCGCCUGAGGGGAUCACGUCCCCAGUACGAAAGGAACGGGGCGUGGCGGCCUCUGGUGAACCAGCUGUCCGGUAGGGCAAGCUGGGCAGCUACGCCGCCGGGGAUAAGGGCUGAAGGCAUCUAAGCCCGAAGCCCCUCCCGAAAAUAGGCGGCCAAUCCUAGACGCAGAAACCUGG